CAAAGAGACAAAGACAAGAAGAGGGAAAUUGCAAGCAAAACGAGACGACUCAGCCGCCACAAAAGCGCCACGUAUACGAUUCCGAUCCACAUUCACUUUCUUCAACGACACAAUAACUUAGCUUCUGCGACUGUCCAUCAGAUCUUCUACGACUCUACUGGUCUCUCUCAUGCCAGUCACCCUAGGUACGCAGCUCUGAUGAGAGCUUAAUGUUUGAAAUCCUUUGUUCUUCCUAUUCAGACGGUUGGUCUAUCGGUUUUUUCGUUUAUUGAGUUCUUUUUUUCUUGAAUCUUGCAUAUGUCCAGUUAUGCAACUCUUGAAUUUGAAUCCAACUUUGCAGGAAGAUGGCAGCAUCAUCAGCUUGCAUUGUAGGGAAUAAUGGUUUAUCAACCCAUGAUGCCCCAAAAAAAGUUGAGCAAAGAAGUCUAUGGCAGGCAUCUUAUCUUUCCUUCAAGAUUUCAGUUAUUAGGUAAGACAUCAAAAGCAGUUCUCAUAAAAGCAUCUUUAGGCCAGAAGCAUGAGGAAGGAAGAGGAAUUCUAAAGCGUGAAGGAAGAAGAGGUUUUUUAAAGCAGUUGCUUGGGAAUGUGGGACUUGUUGCACCCACUUUACUGGGAAAUGGGAAGGCAUAUGCUGAUGACCAAGGGGUUUCUUCCUCCAGGAUGUCUUACUCCAGAUUUUUGGAGUACUUGGAUAAGGACAGAGUGAGAAAGGUUGAUUUGUUUGAGAAUGGAACCAUUGCUAUUGUGGAGGCUGUUUCUCCUGAAUUAGGAAACCGGGUGCAGAGAGUCCGUGUACAACUGCCAGGACUCAACCAAGAACUUCUUCAGAAGUUCAGAGAGAAGAACAUUGACUUUGCAGUGCAUAAUGCUCAAGAAGACUCGGGUUCCCUGUUAUUUAAUUUGAUUGGUAAUCUGGCCUUCCCAUUAAUCUUAAUUGGGGGUCUGUUCCUUCUCUCUCGACGUUCAUCUGGAGGCAUGGGUGGUCCUGGGGGGCCUGGUUUCCCCCUGGGUUUUGGUCAAUCAAAGGCAAAGUUCCAAAUGGAACCAAACACUGGUGUGACAUUUGAUGAUGUUGCCGGAGUUGAUGAAGCAAAGCAGGAUUUCAUGGAGGUUGUUGAGUUUCUCAAGAAGCCAGAGAGAUUCACUGCAGUUGGGGCUCGCAUUCCAAAAGGUGUUCUUCUUGUUGGUCCUCCAGGAACUGGAAAGACUCUUCUAGCCAAGGCCAUUGCUGGUGAAGCUGGUGUUCCAUUUUUCUCCAUAUCUGGUUCUGAAUUUGUUGAGAUGUUUGUUGGUGUUGGUGCCUCUAGAGUCCGUGAUCUUUUCAAGAAGGCCAAAGAUAAUGCUCCUUGCAUUGUAUUUGUGGAUGAAAUUGAUGCUGUUGGAAGGCAAAGAGGUACUGGCAUUGGUGGAGGAAAUGAUGAAAGAGAACAGACCCUUAACCAGCUUUUGACAGAAAUGGAUGGUUUUGAGGGUAACACUGGUAUCAUUGUCAUUGCAGCAACUAAUAGGGCAGACAUUCUAGAUUCUGCCUUGUUGAGGCCAGGAAGGUUUGACAGACAGGUGACUGUUGAUGUUCCAGAUAUACGGGGAAGAACAGAGAUAUUAAAAGUUCAUGGUAGCAACAAGAAAUUUGAUGCAGAUGUCUCUCUUGAUGUGAUAGCAAUGAGAACACCUGGUUUCAGUGGGGCUGAUCUUGCAAACCUUUUAAAUGAGGCAGCUAUAUUGGCUGGUCGACGUGGAAAGACUGCAAUAUCAUCCAAAGAGAUUGAUGACUCAAUUGAUCGGAUUGUUGCUGGAAUGGAAGGAACAGUUAUGACAGAUGGGAAGAGUAAAAGCCUUGUUGCAUAUCAUGAAGUUGGCCAUGCUAUUUGUGGAACAAUGACUCCAGGGCAUGAUCCAGUUCAGAAAGUCACACUAAUUCCACGUGGUCAGGCACGAGGUCUUACCUGGUUUAUUCCUGCAGAUGAUCCUACCCUGAUCUCCAAGCAGCAACUUUUUGCAAGAAUAGUUGGUGGACUCGGUGGCAGAGCUGCAGAGGAAGUGAUCUUUGGUGAGCCUGAGGUGACUACUGGAGCAACUGGUGAUUUGCAGCAGAUCACUGGUUUGGCAAAACAGAUGGUUGUCACUUUUGGUAUGUCUGAACUUGGCCCGUGGUCCCUCAUGGAUUCUUCAGCCCAAAGUGGUGAUGUAAUCAUGAGAAUGAUGGCCAGGAACUCGAUGUCAGAAAAGCUAGCUGAAGACAUUGAUGUUGCUGUGAAGAAGCUUUCAGACAGUGCAUAUGAGAUUGCAUUGAGCCAAAUCCGCAGCAACCGUGAAGCAAUUGAUAAGAUUGUGGAAGUCCUCCUUGAAAAGGAGACGAUGACUGGAGAUGAAUUCCGUGCUAUUCUCUCAGAAUUUGUUGAAAUUCCUGCUGAAAACCGCGUCCCUGCUGCUGUUCCUACCCCAGCAGCUGUAUAAUAGCUUGAACAUAUACUGCAACUUGUACAAUUCACAUACACUUAUCCCCCUAAUUUGAUCUAGAGUAUAAACAAUAUAUAGACUAUAAGAAAGUUAAAAAACACUUUUGUGCAUUUGUGUAUGAAGCAAAUUUUCA
rnacentral:misc_RNA from 1 species